UAGUCAUAUGCUUGUCUCAAAGAUUAAGCCAUGCAUGUCUAAGCACAAGCCGAUUAAUGGUGAAGCCGCGAAUGGCUCAUUACAACAGCCAUAGUUUCUUAGAUCUUACUUUUCUACUUGGAUAACUGUGGUAAUUCUAGAGCUAAUACACGCAAAAAAGCUCAGACCUUACGGAAUGAGCGCAUUUAUUAGAACAAAAACCAAUCGGGCUUCGGUCCGUCAUUUGGUGAAUCUGAAUAACUUUGCUGAUCGCACGGUCUUCGUACCGGCGACAUAUCUUUCAAAUGUCUGCCUUAUCAACUUUCGAUGGUAGUUUAUGCGCCUACCAUGGUUGUAACGGGUAACGGAGAAUAAGGGUUCGACUCCGGAGAGGGAGCCUGAGAAACGGCUACCACAUCCAAGGAAGGCAGCAGGCACGCAAAUUACCCACUCCCGGCACGGGGAGGUAGUGACGAAAAAUAACGAGACGGCUCGCUAUGCGGUCCGUCAUCGGAAUGGGUACAAUUUAAAUCCUUUAACGAGGAUCUAUUG
rnacentral:rRNA from 1 species